rnacentral:rRNA from 1 species
GAGUUUGAUCCUGGCUCAGAUCGAACGCUGGCGGCAUGCCUUACACAUGCAAGUCGAACGGCAGCACGGGAGCUUGCUCCUGGUGGCGAGUGGCGAACGGGUGAGUAAUGCAUCGGAACGUAUCCUGGAGUGGGGGAUAACGUAGCGAAAGUUACGCUAAUACCGCAUAUUCUGUGAGCAGGAAAGCGGGGGACCUUCGGGCCUCGCGCUCUUGGAGCGGCCGAUGUCGGAUUAGCUAGUUGGUGAGGUAAAGGCUCACCAAGGCGACGAUCCGUAGCAGGUCUGAGAGGAUGAUCUGCCACACUGGAACUGAGACACGGUCCAGACUCCUACGGGAGGCAGCAAUGGGAAUUUUGGACAAUGGGGGCAACCCUGAUCCAGCCAUGCCGCGUGAGUGAAGAAGGCCUCGG